GGGAAACUGGGCUACAGUGAGAGAUGGCAGCCAUUUUGGAUCUGUUUUAAACAAGGGUCCCUCAUGUCCUUCAGGGGGUACCUAAGGUUUAUGCCUGAUUGAAAAAGAGCUUAAAUUUUCUUUUACUUCAGUGAUCACUUAAAUUAGAUAUAAACUCAGUAUGAGUUGUACAUUAAAUUGGUUAGCGAUUUAAGGUGUAUUUACAAUGUGGCUGAAACGCUGUUGGUAUUCAGCUGUUAGAAACAUCAAGACAGAUAGAUACUGGUCAGUUAGAGACAGUAGGACAGAUAGAUACUGAUACUGGUCAGUUAGAGACAGUAGGACAGAUAGAUACUGGUCAUAGGAUCUUCCUGGGCAAAAACCUUUUAAAGAUUUGUCAGUCAACUACAACACAACUCAGUACAGUAACGUUACGGCAACAAGACACUGGGCCAACACGUCGCCAUGGAAACACAGAAGCACGGCAGUCAAAGCUCUUUUUUUUUUCCGGCGUUAGGGUCAUUUACAAAAAUAAAAAUAAACUAUUGUCUAAAGACUGUUAAGUGUUAGAUGUAUCGAAUAAAAAAAAAGAAGACAUUUAAAGAAGCACAGAUACUGUACCAAACUGUUCCACGACAUCUAGUCACUAACAACACUAUGUUAUAGUUAACUGGGGCCCCAGAGUUAUCCCUGAUCAUGUGACCUGACCAGGAGACACGCCAGGCUCUAGUUAUAUAAAAAGGCAAUGGUUUCAUUGGAUGUCCCCUUGCAGAGGAAAGUGUUAAAAGCCACAUAAAUGUGAAAGAUGUACAUUUCUAAUGUAUUGUCCUGUGUGGAGACAGGAUAAGGGUCCACCCUAUAACCUACAGCACCUUCGCAAAGUAUUCAGACCCCUGGACUUUUUACACAUUUUGUUACGUUACAGACUUAUUCUAACAUGGAUUCAAUUG
ensembl:lncRNA